rnacentral:rRNA from 1 species
UACAGAGGUCCCAAGCGUUGUUCGGAUUCACUGGGCGUAAAGGGUGCGUAGGUGGUUAGGUAAGUCCGAUGUGAAAUCUCCAGGCUCAACCUGGAAAUGGCAUUGGAUACUAUUUAGCUUGAGGAGUGGAGGGGGGACUGGAAUUCUCGGUGUAGCAGUGAAAUGCGUAGAUAUCGAGAGGAACACCAGUGGCGAAGGCGGCGACCUGGGCCAAUAUUGACGCUGAGGUGCGAAAGCGUGGGGAGCAAACAGG